UUUGACUCGUUUUUCUCAGAAAUUUUUUCCCGAGAAAAAUGAGUUGAAAUUUUGGUUCGGAUGAUGAAGAAGAGAAGAAGAAGAGAAGAAGAAUGUGCCAGGAUCGUUCGGCACUAGCGCCAGCUUCGCUCUCCGUUUCGGCCAAACCAUUUUCUCAGCUGCUUCGUUGGUCUUCAUGUGCUUCGAUUACGAUUUCUAUGAUUUCACUAUCUUCUGGCUUCGUUUUUAGGUGACAUUGGUGAAGUGAUUGCUCAUGUUGGAGAUAAAUUCCCCAAAAUCUAAUUUGUAUGCAGCAGGAUGGUCUCUUGGAGCCAACAUUCUUGUCAAUUACUUGGGUCAGGAAUAUCAUAAUUGUGCAAUCUUUUUGAUUUGGUUAUAGCAGAUGAAGAUUUCCAUAAGGGUUUCAACAAUGUUUAUGAUAAGAUCCUGUCGAGAUCUCUUCAUUAACUGUCCAUUUUCCACCGCCAUCUUUUCUACUUGCCAGUAACUUAGUUAUUGACUUUGUAGAAGACAGAACUUAUAUAUGUAUGAUGAGGGCACACAGCUACAAAUAAUUUGUUUGCUUUUUUUUCAUGUAACAUUAUCAUUGCGUUUCGAAUCAGUGGAUGAGUAUUAUUCCAA